rnacentral:rRNA from 1 species
GACAGAGGGGGCAAGCGUUGCUCGGAAUUACUGGGCGUAAAGGGCGCGUAGGCGGGAUGGCAAGUCGGUCGUGAAAUCCUUCGGCUCAACCGAAGAACGUCGAUCGAUACUGCUGUUCUUGAGGGUUGCAGAGGAGACUGGAAUUCCCGGUGUAGCGGUGAAAUGUGUAGAGAUCGGGAGGAACACCGGUGGCGAAGGCGGGUCACUGGACCGGGAUUGACACUGAGGCGCGAAAGCCAGGGGAGCGAACGGG